rnacentral:lncRNA from 10 species
CGAAUGGUGGAUAGGACUAUAAUAUUAAGAUUGCAUUUCUCUGGAAUGACCACAGCAAUAUUUCCAGCCCUUGAUGAUCUUCUAGAACUUUGCCACUUCCCUGCAUCAAGAGGUAUAACCUCAUCCUGGAGCAGGGCACCCUAUCGUCAGAUGGUAUCAUCUUUAAGGGGUUGUCUCAGCCAUGCCUUUAGAAUUACCUUUCAUUGCUUGUCAUGCUGGAAGCUUCUGAAUGUUGCAUUUUGUGAUAGAAACAGUGGGUACCAUGGUCAUGUGCUCACAUCUCCUUUGCGGUAAAGAAAAGGAUCACUCAUUAACAUCCACCAGAUAACAUUCUCCAUGAAAGCACCAAAUAAGGUUUGUCUUGGUCCAUUUUAUGCUGCUAUAACAGAACACCACAGACUGAGAAAUUUAUAAGGAAUAGAAGUUUAUUUGCCUCAUGUUUCUGGAGGCUGGGAAUUCCAAGAUCAAGGGGCUGCAUAGAUUGAGGUCCUUUUUGCUGACUCAUAACGUGGAAAGAGAGUGCACUGCAUAGAAGAAAGGAGGCCAAACUCAUUCUUUUAUCAUGAGCCUACUCCUGAAAUAACUCACUCUCAAGAUAAUGGCAUUAAUCCAUUCAUGAAGGCAGAAUACUCAUGAUGUAAUCACCUCUUAAAAGGUCCUAUUUCCUAACACUGUUGCAUUAGGGAUUAAGCUGUCAACACAUGAAUAUUGGGGGACACAUUCAAACCAUAGCAAGAGUUCUUUGUCUUUGUGACUCGGUGUGGUUCAGCAAAUUGCGAUUGGUCUGCUAUAGCGGACUUUCCCCUCACCUCCCAAAUGUUUAUUAUGAAAAAUUUCAUUUUAAAGAAAGGUGGAAGGAAUUGUUGAAAGAAUAUGUCAUCUAGUUUCUACUGUUGUUAACAUUGUGUCAUAUUUGCCUUUUCAUCCAUCCAACCACCCAUCCAUCUAGCUACCUUAUAAUUACUAUUAUUACUUAUUAUUACUAUUAUUUUUAAAGACACCUCUAUUAAAGCAACCAUCUUAUUUUUUGAUUUUAUUUAUUUUCAAAGUUAGUUGCAGACAUUAGUAUACUUUACUCCUAGACAUUUUAGCGUGAACAUAAUUAACUGGAGUAUAAUACUUGUUUUCAAUUUCUUUUUAUUUUUGAGGUAAAAUUUACAUACAGUGAAAUCCAAAUCUUAAGUGUACCACUAGAUAAAUUUUGAUAAAUGCAUUAUGCCUGGUCUUCACACACCCUUUUCAAUAUAUAGAAAAUUUCCAGAUAAUUUAUUUUGUUGUUUUUUUCACACACUAAGUUCUAGACUUUUCCAGGUCCGAGGGAACUAUUAGGGGGGAAAGUACUUGUUAUAGUAAAAAAGAUUUUAGGUGUGUUUGUUUUUAAGGUGCAGAAACACAUCGCAGAUUAAGGUCUGCAUCUCUGCUUUUUGUUAUUGUUCCAGUUUGAUCUCAGUGACAUUACAAGCAAGCAGAAACACUCAGACAUGAAAUGGCCAGUGCCUGUGAGUUAAGAGCAGGAUCUAGGUCUAUUUUUUUGAUAUGUAUCUCAACUACCUGGAAUACUUUAUACUUUUGGCACUCAAUAAAUAUUUGUUGCUGCCAGACGAUCUGCC